rnacentral:rRNA from 1 species
GACGAACGCUGGCGGCGUGCUUAACACAUGCAAGUCGAACGGAAAGGCCCUGCUUUUUUGCGGUUCUCGAGUGGCGAUCGGGUGCGUAACACGUGAGUAACCUGCCCUUGACUUUGGUGUAACUUCACGAAACUGAGGCUAAUACCGGAUAGGAUCCCCUGCUGCAUUGUGGGGGGUGGAAAGUUUCGGCUGUUGGGGAUGGACUCGCGGCUUACCAGCUUGUUGGUGGGGUAGUUGCUGACCAAGGCUUUGACGGGUACCCGGCAUGGGAGGGUGACCGGCCACAUGGGGACUGAGAUACGGCCCAGAGGGCUACGGGAGGCAGCAGGGGGGAAUAUGGCACAGCGGGCGGAAGUCGGAUGAAGCAGCGCCGCGUGCGGGAUGACGGCCUGCGGGUAGUAAACCGCUUUCGGCUGUGACGAAGCGGGAGUGACGGUAAUGGGUAAAGAAGCACCGGCUAACUACGUG